rnacentral:rRNA from 1 species
AGAUUGAACGCUGGCGGCAUGCCUUACACAUGCAAGUCGAACGGCAGCACGGGAGCAAUCCUGGUGGCGAGUGGCGAACGGGUGAGUAAUAUAUCGGAACGUGCCCAGUCGUGGGGGAUAACGCAGCGAAAGCUGUGCUAAUACCGCAUACGAUCUAUGGAUGAAAGGCGGGGGAUCGCAAGACCUCGCGCGAUUGGAGCGGCCGAUAUCAGAUUAGCUAGUUGGUAGGGGUAAAAGCCUACCAAGGCGACGAUCUGUAGCUGGUCUGAGAGGACGACCAGCCACACUGGAACUGAGACACGGUCCAGACU